CCUACGGGUGGCAGCAGUGGGGAAUAUUGCGCAAUGGGCGAAAGCCUGACGCAGCGACGCCGCGUGAGGGAUGAAGGUCUUCGGAUCGUAAACCUCUGUCAGCAGGGAAGAACGGUCACUGUGCUAAUCAGCAGUGAAUUGACGGUACCUGCAAAGGAAGCACCGGCUAACUCCGUGCCAGCAGCCGCGGUAAUACGGAGGGUGCGAGCGUUAAUCGGAAUUACUGGGCGUAAAGCGCUCGUAGGCGGUAUGUCAAGUCAGCGGUAAAAUUUCGGGGCUCAACCGCGUCGUGCCGUUGAAACUGGCGUUCUUGAGUGAGCGAGAGGUAUGCGGAAUGCGUGGUGUAGCGGUGAAAUGCAUAGAUAUCACGCGGAACUCCGAUUGCGAAGGCAGCAUACCGGCGCUCAACUGACGCUCACGCGCGAAAGCGUGGGUAUCGAACAGGAUUAGAUACCCUUGUAGUC
rnacentral:rRNA from 1 species